rnacentral:rRNA from 1 species
GACGAACGCUGGCGGCGUGCUUAACACAUGCAAGUCGAACGGAAAGGCCCUGCUUUUGUGGGGUGCUCGAGUGGCGAACGGGUGAGUAACACGUGAGUAACCUGCCCUUGACUUUGGGAUAACUUCAGGAAACUGGGGCUAAUACCGGAUAGGAGCUCCUGCUGCAUGGUGGGGGUUGGAAAGUUUCGGCGGUUGGGGAUGGACUCGCGGCUUAUCAGCUUGUUGGUGGGGUAGUGGCUUACCAAGGCUUUGACGGGUAGCCGGCCUGAGAGGGUGACCGGCCACAUUGGGACUGAGAUACGGCCCAGACUCCUACGGGAGGCAGCAGUGGGGAGUAUUGCACAGUGGGCGGAAGCCUGAUGCGGCAACGCCGCGUGCGGGAUGACGGCCUUCGGGUUGUAAACCGCUUUCGCCUGUGACGAAGCGUGAGUGACGGUAAUGGAUAAAGAAGCACCGGCUAACUACGUG